UACGUAGGGUGCAAGCGUUAAUCGGAAUUACUGGGCGUAAAGCGUGCGCAGGCGGUUGUGCAAGACAGAUGUGAAAUCCCCGGGCUCAACCUGGGAAUUGCAUUUGUGACUGCACGGCUAGAGUGUGUCAGAGGGGGGUAGAAUUCCACGUGUAGCAGUGAAAUGCGUAGAGAUGUGGAGGAAUACCGAUGGCGAAGGCAGCCCCCUGGGAUAACACUGACGCUCAUGCACGAAAGUGUGGGGAGCAAACAGG
rnacentral:rRNA from 1 species